ACCUUGCUGCCGCUGCUGCCGCCACCCGCACCCCCGCUUCGGUCUGUGGUGCAGUGGGGACCCAGGACCAUGUCGCUGUCACGCUCAGAAGAGAUGCACCGGCUCACGGAAAAUGUCUACAAGACCAUCAUGGAGCAGUUCAACCCCAGCCUCCGCAACUUCAUUGCCAUGGGGAAGAACUACGAGAAAGCCCUCGCAGGUGUGACCUUCGCUGCCAAAGGCUAUUUUGAUGCCCUGGUGAAGAUGGGGGAGCUAGCCAGUGAAAGCCAGGGCUCCAAGGAACUUGG